rnacentral:rRNA from 1 species
UACGUAGGGGGGCAAGCGUUGUUCGGAAUUACUGGGCGUAAAGGGCGCGUAGGCGGCACAGCAAGUCGGGAGUGAAAGCCCGGGGCUCAACCCCGGAAUGGCUUUCGAAACUGCUGAGCUAGAGUACAGAAGGGGCAACCGGAAUUCCCAGUGUAGCGGUGAAAUGCGUAGAGUAUUGGGAAGAACACCUGAGGCGAAGGCGGGUUGCUGGGCUGAUGACUGACGCUGAGGCGCGAAAGCCAGGGGAGCAAACGGG